rnacentral:rRNA from 1 species
CUGCAGCCCGAGUGGUGAUCGAUUUUAUUGAGCCUAAAGCGUCCGUAGCCGGACUAGUAAACCCUUGGGUAAAUUGGGCAGCUUAACUGUCCAAAUUCCGAGGGGACUGCUAGUCUUGGGACCGGGAGAGGUCAGAGGUACUCAAGGGGUAGGGGCUAAAUCCUGUAAUCCUUUGGGGACCACCAGUGGCUAAGGCGUCUGACUAGAACGGAUCCGACGGUAAGGGACGAAACCCUGGGGCGCGAACCGGAUUAGAUACCCGAGUAGUCC